AUACGGAGGGUACGAACGUUAAUCGGAAUUACUGGGCGUAAAGCGCGCGUAGGUGGUUCGGUAAGUGGGAUGUGAAAGCCCCGGGCUCAACCCGGGAACUGCAUUCCAAACUGCCGGGCUAGAGUAUGGUAGAGGGAGGUAGAAUUUCCUGUGUAGCGGUGAAAUGCGUAGAUAUAGGAAGGAAUACCGGUGGCGAAGGCGGCUUCCUGGACCAAUACUGACACUGAGGUGCGAAAGCGUGGGGAGCAAACAGGAGUAGAAACCCCAGUAGUCC
rnacentral:rRNA from 1 species